rnacentral:tRNA from 1 species
GGCCUUGUGGUGUGUUCACAUUAGACUGCAAAUCUAAAGGUGCAGAUUACCGUCUGCCUGGGCUU